rnacentral:rRNA from 1 species
CAUUCGAGUGGCGGACGGGUGAGUAACGCGUGGGUAACCUGCCUUACACAGGGGGAUAACACCUGGAAACAGGUGCUAAUACCGCAUAAGCGCACAGGGCCGCAUGGCCCGGUGUGAAAAACUCCGGUGGUGUAAGAUGGACCCGCGUCUGAUUAGCUUGUUGGCGGGGUAGAGGCCCACCAAGGCGACGAUCGGUAGCCGGCCUGAGAGGGCGGACGGCCACAUUGGGACUGAGACACGGCCCAAACUCCUACGGAAGGCAGCAG